AUUGAACGCUGGCGGCAUGCCUAACACAUGCAAGUCGAACGGUAGCAGGCCCUUCGGGGUGCUGACGAGUGGCGGACGGGUGAGGAAUGCAUCGGGAUCUGCCCUGUUGUGGGGGAUAACUUAGGGAAACUUAAGCUAAUACCGCAUACGACCUUAGGGUGAAAGCGGGGGACCUUCGGGCCUCGCGCAGCAGGAUGAACCGAUGUCGGAUUAGCUAGUUGGUAGGGUAAAGGGCCUACCAAGGCGACGAUCCGUAGCUGGUCUGAGAGGAUGAUCAGCCACACUGGGACUGAGACACGGCCCCAGACUCCUACGGGAGGCAGCAGUGGGGAAUAUUGGACAAUGGGCGCAAGCCUGAUCCAGCAAUGCCGCGUGUGUGAAGAAGGCCUCGGGUUGUAAAGCACUUUUAUCGGGAAACGAAAUCCGCUGGACUAAUACUUUGGCGGGAUGACGGUACCUGAGGAAUAAGCACCGGCUAACUUCGUGCCAGCAGCCGCGGUAAUACGAAGGGUGCAAGCGUUAAUCGGAAUUACUGGGCGUAAAGCGUGCGUAGGUGGUUUGUUAAGUCUGCUGUGAAAGCCCUGGGCUCAACCUGGGAAUUGCAGUGGAUACUGGCUAACUAGAGUGCGGUAGAGGGUUGUGGAAUUCCCGGUGUAGCAGUGAAAUGCGUAGAUAUCGGGAGGAACACCAGUGGCGAAGGCGGCAACCUGGACCAGCACUGACACUGAGGCACGAAAAGCGUGGGGGAGCAAACAGGAUUAGAUACCCUGGUAGUCCC
rnacentral:rRNA from 1 species